rnacentral:lncRNA from 10 species
CCCAGGGACACAAAAACUGCGGAAGGCCGCAGGGACCUCUGCCUAGGAAAGCCAGUCUCUCGUUCCACCUUAUGAGAAACACCCACAGGUGUGGAGGGGCAACCCACCCCUACAGAAGGGGCCACUGGGGCAGGGAAGAGACAGAUGUUGGAUUUUAGAGGAUCCGGUAAAGGAUGCUACUCUUCUCCAUCCAAGUUUGAAAGCGACUGAGAGAGACACACAACAGUCAGACAGAGAGAGAUCAAAAUAUUUUCCUGUGACUUAAGAGCAAUGGCCAAGCUGGCUUCCUGCUAUCCUACCCUUGAACUUGACAUUCACCCACUGAAAAUGCCCAGUCCCUGGCUCAGUGGGGAUACCAGAGGCUGCUAACUGCCAGGCAGCAACAGACCAAUAAAGGCUUCCAAAAGAGAUGGUGCGCUGGGCUGGGCAUGCCCAGGAGCUCCUCCCACGCUUGGCCAUCAGAUUAGGAUCCUGAGACCCGG